UACGUAGGGUGCGAACGUUAAUCGGAAUUACUGGGCGUAAAGCGUGCGCAGGCGGUUCGUUGUGUCGGCGGUGAAAGCCCCGGGCUUAACCUGGGAAUGGCCGUUGAAACUGGCGAACUGGAGUGUGGCAGAGGGGGGUGGAAUUCCGCGUGUAGCAGUGAAAUGCGUAGAGAUGCGGAGGAACACCGAUGGCGAAGGCAGCCCCCUGGGCUAACACUGACGCUCAGGCACGAAAGCGUGGGGAGCAAACAGG
rnacentral:rRNA from 1 species